GGAGAACAAUCCACAAGGCAUAGAAAUCACAGCACUGGAAGUGUAGUACUGAUGGUGGGGAGAACGAAGGAGAGACAGAGCAGCCAGACCCAGUCUGCUCAGUGAUUCAGCAAGCAGCGGCCAUCUGUUUGCCUUCACAGCUGUGGAGAGCUGUGAGCAGGGGACAAAUAAACUAAGGCAGGCCGCUGAGGCAGGGGGACAACCUGCCACCACUUGCUCCUUCCAUGGCCGAGCUGUCUGGCCAGGAUCAGGCUUGGUCAGCCCUUUCCAGGGAUCUUGCUGGUGUCCUGACUGCCUCCACCUGCCAUGGGAAGUACCCUUCAAAAAAGAACAAGCCUGCUUCCCUCAUCCCUUGCUGCAAUCUGGUCAUAGCUCCCUGUUGCUGGCUGCAAACAUCCAAGCCCAUUAGUCUGACUCCACAGGUGCCAUAGGGAUUUAGCUCAAUUGUCUUCCUGGGCUCCAUGUUCCUCAACCCUCCUCCCUCCCCCGCCCCCAGCUGUCCUGGCUCAGGGCUCCCUGCCAUUCUUGAAGAUCCCUAAACACAUGAGACUCUCACACUGCCCAUGCUAUUUGCAUAUGUCACCUCUUGUCCCUAGUGGUCCCCAAUGCCUUUCCUUGCCUUCCUCUUGAAAUCUCUACUCUCCCCCCUUGGGACUCAAGUUAAAGAUUAUCUGCCACAGACAGACUCCCUCACCAGCCUGCACACUUCCUGGGCUGAGGGCAUUUGCCUACCUGCCUGUGUGUCCCUUCAGUUGUACAGGUGACAGCCCUCACCACACAGACUGUCAUGGUCUAUUUCCUCCCAUGCGCCUUCCUAGAAAAGGACCCAAAUGAAGCCACUGUGCAGACAGCAUAGAAUCUUUCUCAGCAGAGAAUGGGAGGGGUAGAGGGCUUUCUCUGGCCCCUGCUUCCAUUUGCCUGCAGUAUGUGGUCUGAAGUUCGGGGGGCCCACUUGUUGACAACAGUUUAUAGAGGCCCCUGGCUCCCCCGAGAGGGAAGGCCAGGCUAUUCAGAGCAUAAUUUAUUUCCUUUAUGGUCUGCCACCCAAGGAGAGCCACCUAUUCUCUUCACUCAAAAGGACAGAUCAGUCUGCAGUUCUUUGCCAGAGCAGUGUGCUGACAGUUAAGAAACAGGGCCAUCAGAGGGACCGCCAAACAGCAAGGACAUGAAAGAUACUCGGCCGAGAAUCCGUUUGCAUACAUCCCAGCUGUAAUUUUUCCCCCUUGGGGGAAUGGGAUGUAACAAGUCUGACAGGCGUUCAAUAACUGAGGUAGAAAGAAAAAAAAAUAACAAGCUGCUGGGCCUUCAGAAGCAACACUUUCUGGGCAAAAAGGAUGUGAUAGCAACUCAGUGAGAUAAAAGGCACGGAACUUGGAGCUGCACCGGGAUUCGGGAUGAAGACAGUGCCCAGAAUGUGGCUCUGACUACAUCUUAAGAAACACGACCACAGGCUGCUGUGGGGCCAGCCAUGAUUUCCUGGGAGAGAGGAGCUCUCAACAUAGCUUGUGAGAAGAGGAUGGAAACAACCCAGACCAGGAGGGAGAACUUUCGAAGUGAGUCUAGCCAUGUGGCUUUUGAAGACAGAGAAGAAGCAGAGGUGAAAAUGAGAGUUGAGGGGAUGUUCCCCAGGCAGACUUCACUGAAAUCAUCUUCAUUGGCUAGAAGAAAAUUUGAGAGUGCCCCCUAAACCCUUUCCCCAGGGAGGACCAGAAAUAAGCCCAUUGAUCAAUGAGUUUCAGACAUAAGACUCUAGAAGAUGGCAACCCACGCUGAUGUGAUGAAUAGCAUUUGCAGCAAUUUGUCUUUCCCAGCUUCGUCCCAGGACAUCCGGGGAAACACGCUUUUGUCUGCACCAUGAAGCGAAGGGUCCAAUAUUAUCCUGCCUGUAGUCCUCGUUGGGGGUCCUGACCGCAGAAAUCAGUAGGUAUGGACGUGGAUGGGACAGGAGGCUGUCACUGUGGCAGAGGCAAUGUUUGAUGGAUAGAAAUGAUAGUGGGAAAACACAGUGUGGAUACAGAGGACAGUGAACAUGAGAGGAGCCUUGGAUAGUGAGACGUGAGGGAGCCAAAUGUCCUAGGAGUUCAACAAUGGCACAAGGAUCUGCAAUGAAGUCGUGUAAGCCACUGGGCUGAGAAGAUUGAAAGCCAUGUGUGUUAACUUGUGUUGGAGGUGACAUGGCUUCAGAUUAGAGAUACAAGUUGCCUCUGAAAUUAAUUGGCUGAAAAUCUCAUGGUAGACUGCACUGAGAUGCUCAGAAUUCACACUUAAAUGUAGGAAGUCAGAGAGCUUUUCCUUUUUGAGAAGUGUCUCAUUAGCCGAGGACCUUCCAACAGCCAUAGCUUCAGAAAGCUUCUCCACAGCAGCCCUGCCACAAUGGGAGAUCUGCCACUUCCAGAUCACAACGGAGUGAGGUCGAUGUGGGAAGGUGCGGCGCGGUCUUGAGUGACAAAGGGAAUGUGACCAUAUAGCAAGUGGGCUGAGCACAUACUAAGAUGGCCAGGGGUGGGUGGUGGAGAGGAACAGCAACCUCCAACUAAAACCAUCCCUGGAAUACCAGAAAGAAACCAAGCUAUAGGCAACACACUGAGGAACAUGGUGUGAGCAAGACCAGCCAGCGCCUUCUCCUUUCUCCAAUAUCAGUCCCCUCCUGGUCAUCAGGGAUUGCCUGAAAUUCUUCCACCAGACAGGUAGAACACAGUCCUAAUGUUCACACUGGGUCGUCCAGGCUGGUUUACAAAGGGGAGCAGGCAUCAGACUGCUGACAGAUAGGUUCCUUUCUUAGUCGGUAAGAUAAAAUAUUAAAUAGCUGUCUGCCCUCCCCCAAGUCAAUGCAUAGAUUAAAUAUAAUUUCAAUCAAAAGAUGUUUUAAAAUCAAUGUGCUUUGAAGUCUCAUGUGAAAAACAGGACUUGGCAGGAAUUUCAAAGAAUACUCUCAGAAUGAAGCGCUACAAGGUGAGGAAUAGGGAGAGAGGAGGGCGGGGGGAUGAAAGGACCCCCAAAGCUUAGUGUAAAAAAUAAGCUGUUGAAACCUCAGCAUUAGCUCCUCCCAGAGAGGGGCAGGAGGGGGUAGCCCAGGGGCCUGCAAUACCAGCACACAGCUGGAUCCACUUUCCAUAGCAGUAUUAAGGAAACUGUGUUGGAUGACAAGGUAACCAUUGAGUAUCGAUUAGGUUAGGAGGCUGGAGAGAAGCUUACUGCUCUUUUAGGGGACCUGAAUGUGGCUCCCAAUACCUGCAUCAUAUUACUCAUAACCACACGUGACACGAGUUCCAGGGUCUCCAAGGCCAUCUUUUGGCCUCUGUAAGCAAGUGCACUCAAAUGGUGCACACAAAUCCACACAGGCAGGCACACACAUACAUACACAUAAAUAAAAAUCUUUAAAAAAUGAUAAAAUUGGAUCUGCAUAACACCGCAUGCCCAAUAAACUCCAGAUGGAUUAAAACAUGAAAUAUGGAAAAGUAUUUUUUUAGUUAAACUAAUGGGGUGGAAACCAGAGUCAUCCAUCAGUUCUGUGUGGGAAUCACUCAACUUACAAGUAACAGAGGCAACAUCAGGAGAGGCUGAGUUGGGUGUAGAAAGUCUACAAGGCUCCAGAAUGAUGACAGCCAAGGGAAUUCAGUAGAGGGCAUUCUGGGGGAAUAUUCAUACUACAAUGGAAGGUAACAAGAUUUUAAAAAUAUAACUGACAAAUAAUUCAUACUGUGACAGCUAAAGAGUUGCAGUGUUUUUAAGCACUCCAACUGCAACGGUUGCAAAGUAAAGACUAUGGUAGAAGCCAACCAUGAGAGAAGAUUGUUCUUCUUGGUAGUAAUUGCGGCAAUUAAGCUUGGGCUAUCACUCUGUACUAUCCAUUGGAUCAUUUACUGUUUGACCUUGAACCCCCAGCCCUUGCCAGGUUAAGGUGAAAAGAGCAGAGUCACUGAAGCCAGUGGCAUUGUUACCAGGGAUGAUGUGUCUGAAUAAAAUCAUGAUACAGAGCGAGAACCAUAAACAUCCAUCCAGUCUAACCAAUCCCUUCUUUCCCCACAUGAAACUGGGUGCUAAGAAGACUCAAAUGGAGGCAAAGCUCACAUCUGCAAAAAUGUGCGUUAACAUUAGAAUAGUGAGUUUGAUAGUGGAACAGAAUAGAGAGAAAAGCAAAUGACCUUAACGUUCCAAGAGAAGGAGAUCUAUCAGUUACAGAGUAACUUCUCUACUCAAGCAAACACAGAGAAAGGAUUAGUUGCUGUGUUAGGGCUAAGGCUUAAGUGCCUUGGAGGGGGGAACCUGUGUGCAUGGGUUACACUUACAUAUGUGUACAUUUGAGGGGCACUCAUCCUUCUGUGUCUAUGUGGAGGCCACAGGUCAACCUUGGGGAUUUUCCUCCAUUGCUCCCCUCCUUCCUUUUGAGGCAGAGUCUCUCACUAAGUUUGAGAGCUUCAUUUUCCACUAGACUGACUGGCCAGUGAGCUCUAGAGAUCCAUCCUCCUCUGCUUCCCAGUGCUGGGGUUUCACAUACACACUGCCAUGCCAAACUUUUAUGUGAGUGCUGGGAUCCAAACUUAGGUCCUCAUAUUUAUAGCAGUUGCUUUACCCACCGAGCCAUCUCCAAGUCCAGAGAAAUCUCUUAUGAAUCAAUGAAUGAAUCAAUAAAUGAAUGAAUGAAUGAAUCAAUCAAUCGUUCUCUCUCCCCCUCCCUCCUUCCU